GGUGCUUCCCCGCUCCCGUCUUCCUCCUUCCGUUCGCCCAGCCCCCUCUAAAAUUCGGUCGAUGCCCUACUUGUGCGCGCGCCGACUUCCCACCUCCAUCGCGAGCCGGUGCUUCCCCGCUGCCGUCUUCCUCCUUCUCCUCUGAGAUCAAAUGAUUGCGACCAAGAGAUCGUUGCAAUGGAUGCUGGGAAGGGCGAUUGGGGCGAGGAGCAUGUGCGCCCUUCCCCACAAAUCCGCCCCCUCCUCUUCCGAGGAACUGAUGAGAAUGGAACACCAGUAUAGCGCUCAUAAGUAAGCUAUGUUGUUGUACCCCACACCACUCCCCUUCUUAGAUCUCAAAUUCUUGCGGCCUUGAUCUAAUGCUUUCCUCACUUAGAUCCUCUGUUAUUUAUGUAGAUUUAUUAUAUUUGGUUUUGUUGGAUGUCGAUGCUACCAGGUCUCUGACUCGGUCGAUCUUGGUUUUGUUGGGAAGGAAGAAAUGUUUGUCAAUGUUUCUGUGUUUUGUUUAUGGGUUUAUCUAUGGUUUUGACAAGUCUGGUUGGUGCAUGAUGAUAUGCUGAUUGAAAUUGGAGGGUUGCCAUGGCUUUUAAGAGUUAGUGAUGCUGAUUUUCAGCUGAUGCUAAUUUUUGAUACGAUGAGAAUUGGUGCUAUUCUUUCUUUGUUGUUUGGCUUUUUGCUCAGUAAACUUGGAAUUUUUGGGCUUGGUUUGAUCUGCUGCUGUAGUUUGUGGUAGUCGUAUAAACCGGUGAUGAAUCAAGGCUUUGCUCUUGUAUACAGCAGUACUAAUGUUGGAGCUUCUAAUACACUUGAUACCUGUUUAGAAGCAACAAAAUACUUAGUUGGCUUUUUUCUGAUCAACUUCAUGCUCUGAUAUGUUGGCUGUCUCUAUAGUGGUCGUCUUCUGCAUGUGCGCUUUUAAUAGUCCACGCUGCAUUGCAAGUUCUAACUUUGUCUCAUGAAAAACCAUGAAAUUAGGUUUACAUAUAAGGACAUUGAAACAUGUGUAACUAUAUAUUGAAGAGAUUGUAGGAGUCUGUUGAUGAUAGUGCUGAUUCUGCUGAAGAACAUUUCCACAUUUGAUACGCUUGUGAGGAGACAGAGACUUGGAUGGAUGUUGAAGGGUUAGGGUAGUGGAUUCAUGGACUUUAUAUAACGUACAUGGAAGUUGUGGAAAGGAAUAGAGAUGGCAUUUUGUUGGAUCUAAGCAUUAUCUUAUAUGUCUUUGUUGGUUCUAGAGGAAAUAUAUGGCGAUGAGGCUGGGCUGGGCUUGGAGCAUGGCUUUUUUUUACCCCUGGUUACCUAAUUAGUCAAAAGUUGCUUCCUUAGUUAUCAAGACAAAUGAGAUGACUUGGUUGGGGUCCCCAAGCCCCAAGGAGACGAUGAACCAAAGCUGACGAGAGGGAUCCCUUCAAAUUGUGGGAACUGUAGUUGUCUCUGCCAGUUGGAUCACUAGUCCGGCAACAACUGUGCAUUUCAAAGCUUCAACUGCAAAUGAAAAGGUUUGCUUCGGAAAUUACAAAAAAAAACCCAGAGAGAGAGAGAGAGAGAGAUAGAGAGAGAGGGGCUUUUGUGGGGUGGGGGGUACCUGCAGUCUGAGCUUAUUCGCAUGGAAGAUUUUAAGAUACAGAUGCAAUGCUUGAUGAAUCAGAAGUCAUGGGAACAAGGAAUUAAAUUAACAUCGACGGACAUGCAUCGCACGUUCUAUACACCACAAGAAUAAGUACUUCAUAUUUAUUCAUGUCGUAGCAUGAUUUUGCUAAGCCAGCAAGCUACAAUUUGUACUUAUUUUCUAAUCUAUCUCGAAUUAGUUUACGGAAACAUAGAUCAUCACAUUAUAAUUCCCAAAUCCUAUUCAUAAAUUAUUUCAAUAUUAUUUCAGGUUCUUUUUGUUGGAAAUUUUAUUCAUGAUGCACAGAAGGAUCAGCUGCAGAGUAGUUACUCUAAUAAAACAACAUGUGUGAGUAACUUUCCUCUAAAAGAAAAAAAGAAGAAGAUGACUCACUUUGAUAGCAUCAUUCCUCAAGUCUUGGAUAUGUUCUAUUGCUACUUUCAAGGUCAACAUUAUUUCAAUCAUAUACUUUUGUUAUUGUUGCUUAGCAUCUACUUUAUUUUAUGGUUCUGUGAAGUUUACAUUGGAGAAGAGGACGGUCACUCUUAUGUGGAUCUUUUCGAACUAAGAUGUUGUGCACGCUAGAUGACUUCUUUCCUUGUUUCUUUCACUCUUUAAACAUUAAGGGUUCUGCUUCACUACAACUGCACUUGCUCUCAGUUCAGGCUAGUUAGCUUUCAAGGCAUUUUGUAUUUUGAGCUACAAGUUUAUCAUGGUUCCAAUUGAAGGCUUAAUUUUAAAGGGUAGCCAUUGGUUGGUCCUUAAAUCAUGUGUCUUCUUUAAAGUGCGCAACACAAGUUUGUUUCAUGUUUGACUGUUUAUAUAUAUGAGCUCAGGGGAGAUCAUGCACCUGGAUAUCUGAUAUCUGGUCAUUACGCUAUUGAUUAACUUCAAAUCAAUUUUUCCUGCAGGUACUAGGGCCUAACAUCUUUUGUUGGUUAUGCCCUGUAUCAAAGUUCAAAGGCUCUGGUCUCCGAUUUCCCACUGCAUUUGACCUUCCAAUAUCUACAACACUAACUUGACGUAUCAGGUGGCAAAGAUAAGAGUAAUUUGUCUAUAGAAGAUGGAAACCAUGUAAAUUUUUGUGGUUGAGCCUCGCUUGGGAGUGGCACUUACAAUCGUGAAGUGCUUGCCCUACGUUUUUGGUCUGACACGAGGGCUUCAAGUUACUUCUGUGGGCUGCUUAUAAACUACAGGAAGGGUAAGCAGAUGGAGUGCAUCAUAAUUAUUAUAUUGCUAUAUUGUAUUUGAAGAAUAGUUGGAAGAAGGAACAAAAAUUGUACCUUAUGCAUCAUGCAGGUUAUAUACUAGUAUUAACUUUAAAAUAUAGCCCCCAUAUCGUAGAUUGUGUACUUAGGAAUUUGAGAUGUAUAUUUUUAGAAUGUUUUUGAAGUACAAUGUAAUCAAAUAUUAUAAUAUGAAUGUAAUCAAAGUUCUUGUUUGUGA